rnacentral:rRNA from 1 species
GACUCGUGGCGGAUAGCUCAGUAACACGUGGUCGAACUACCCUGUGGACCGGCAUAACCUCGGGAAACUGAGGCUAAUUCCGGAUACAGCUCCCAGGCUUGAAUGCAGGGAGCUGGAAACGCUCCGGCGCCACAGGAUGUGACUGCGGCCGAUUAGGUAGACGGUGGGGUAACGGCCCACCGUGCCGAUAAUCGGUACGGGUUGUGAGAGCAAGAGCCCGGAGACGGUAUCUGAGACAAGAUACCGGGCCCUACGGGGCGCAGCAGGCGCGAAACCUUUACACUGCACGACAGUGCGAUAGGGGGACUCCGAGUGCGAGGGCAUAUAGUCCUCGCUUUUCUGGACCGUAAGGAGGUACAGGAACAAGUGCUGGGCAAGACCGGUGCCAGCCGCCGCGGUAAUACCGGCAGCACGAGUGAUGGCCGCUCUUAUUGGGCCUAAAGCGUCCGUAGCCGGCCAGUCAAGUCCGUUGGGAAAUCGGCGCGCUCAACGCGUCGGCGUCCAGCGGAAACUGACUGGCUUGGGGCCGGAAGACCUGAGGGGUACGUCCGGGGUAGGAGUGAAAUCCCGUAAUCCUGGACGGACCACUGGUGGCGAAAGCGCCUCGGAAGGACGGACCCGACGGUGAGGGACGAAAGCUGGGG